AUUGAACGCUGGCGGCAGGCCUAACACAUGCAAGUCGAACGGUAACAGGAAGAAGCUUGCUUCUUUGCUGACGAGUGGCGGACGGGUGAGUAAUGUCUGGGAAACUGCCUGAUGGAGGGGGAUAACUACUGGAAACGGUAGCUAAUACCGCAUAACGUCGCAAGACCAAAGAGGGGGACCUUCGGGCCUCUUGCCAUCGGAUGUGCCCAGAUGGGAUUAGCUAGUAGGUGGGGUAACGGCUCACCUAGGCGACGAUCCCUCGCUGGUCUGAGAGGAUGACCAGCCGCACUGGAACUGAGACACGGUCCAGACUCCUACGGGAGGCAGCAGUGGGGAAUGUUGCACAAUGGGCGCAAGCCUGAUGCAGCCAUGCCGCGUGUAUGGAGAAGGCCUUCGGGUUGUAAAGUACUUUCAGCGGGGAGGAAGGGAGUAAAGUUAAUACCUUUGCUCAUUGACGUUACCCGCAGAAGAAGCACCGGCUAACUCCGUG
rnacentral:rRNA from 1 species